UACGAAGGGUGCAAACGUUGCUCGGAAUCAUUGGGCGUAAAGCGCACGUAGGCGGCUUUCUAAGUCGGGGGUGAAAUCCUGGAGCUCAACUCCAGAAUUGCCUUCGAUACUGUAGAGCUUGAGACCGGAAGAGGUUUAGUGGAACUGCGAGUGUAGAGGUGAAAUUCGUAGAUAUUCGCAAGAACACCAGUGGCGAAGGCGGCUGACUGGUCCGGUUCUGACGCUGAGGCGGCGAAAAGCGUGGGGGAGCAAACAGG
rnacentral:rRNA from 1 species